UGCGGCACUCUGAGCAGGAAUGGCAGUGUGGACCUCUGUGAUGGGACAUCUUGUGGGAUCUCACAGCCAGUUCUGUGGCAAAGGAGGAUGAAGGCUUACGAGGACUCGUCAGGAAGCUGGAUAACAGAGCGAGCGCAAUGUAAGCAAUUUUGUGUGUGCAUGUGGUCCCAUUACAAGGAAUACCCAAUGGCAAAUGAGCACUAAAGAUCCCUCAACCCACACAUUGAAUGUAUUGUUCCCUGAGAACAAUUGUAGAUAGAGGAGUGGGUGGGAGAUCUGAAGUCAGGGCAUUGUUUCUGCGUAUCUGAGGAGGCUGGUUUUUGAUAUGUGGGAGCUAGUGGUCGUUAACGCAUUUACCCCCUAUUUGGUGGACUCUGGUUCCCCCAUCUUAAGUGCUGAGUCAGGGGCCUAACCGGGCAGCUUUAACUAUUUGUUUGUUGUAGGUGCUAGAAUAGAAGACCAGAAAAUGAAAUGGUGGAGUUUGAGGCUGGAUAGACAGUUUGAAAGUUAACUGGUUGCAUGCUUGUUCAUUUGGCUGGCUUGCUUGGGUACAAAUGAUGGUUUGAAUAAAGAAAGGUAUUACGCAUGGGUCACCUCAAGUGAAGGCACUGCAAACACAAUGAUUGGUCAUUCUGAAUUUCCGGUCCUUCAUUCUGAAUUUCAAAGGCUCCUGUGACAAGUGGACAUGCAGUGACUGUACCUUUGUUUCUGAGGUGCCUGGAUGGAGGCUCAAAUAGAAGAUGGUGUCAGAUAUAUUGUGUUAAAAUUUUACCAUUAAAGUGUAUUAUAACAUGAA
ensembl:processed_transcript Gas5 growth arrest specific 5